rnacentral:rRNA from 1 species
AGUGAACGCUGGCGGUAGGCCUAACACAUGCAAGUCGAACGGCAGCACAGUAAGAGCUUGCUCUUAUGGGUGGCGAGUGGCGGACGGGUGAGGAAUACAUCGGGAUCUACUUUUUCGUGGGGGAUAACGUAGGGAAACUUACGCUAAUACCGCAUACGACCUACGGGUGAAAGCAGGGGAUCUUCGGACCUUGCGCGAUUGAAUGAGCCGAUGUCGGAUUAGCUAGUUGGCGGGGUAAAGGCCCACCAAGGCGACGAUCCGUAGCUGGUCUGAGAGGAUGAUAAGCCACACUGGAACUGAGACACGGUCCAGACUCCUACGGGAGGCAGCAGUGGGGAAUAUUGGACAAUGGGCGCAAGCCUGAUCCAGCCAUACCGCGUGGGUGAAGAAGGCCUUCGGGUUGUAAAGCCCUUUUGUUGGGAAAGAAAAGCAGCAGGUUAAUACCCCGCUGUUCUGACGGUACCCAAAGAAUAAGCACCGGCUAACUUCGUG